UACGUAGGGCGCAAGCGUUAUCCGGAAUUAUUGGGCGUAAAGAGCUCGUAGGCGGUCUGUCGCGUCGGCUGUGAAAUCCCGAGGCUCAACCUCGGGUCUGCAGUCGAUACGGGCAAACUGGAGUGUUGCAGGGGAGACUGGAAUUCCUGGUGUAGCGGUGAAAUGCGCAGAUAUCAGGAGGAACACCGGUGGCGAAGGCGGGUCUCUGGGCAACAACUGACGCUGAGGAGCGAAAGCGUGGGUAGCAAACAGG
rnacentral:rRNA from 1 species